CCUCCGAGCCGAAGAGUAGGGGCGGCCCGGCGGAUUGGAAGAGAGGGUCCGAGGGAAGGGAGAGGGCCGGCCUCAUGCAUCUCUUACUGAAUUGUACUGCACUGGCGCUUCUUGAUUUUUGGAGUUACAACUUACAAUUGAUCCUGAAGAUAUAUGCACCCUUUCUGACUCUUAUCUUGUGGGAGGGCUACACUUAAUUACUUAUGUACAGAUAUAUUAAAUGAACUAAAUUAUAUUUGUUGUCCACAGCUUCUGUUAUGUUUGACUUUCUUAAGCCUGAGAUAUAUGUACCCUUUUUGAUCCUUUUUUUGUGGGAGGGCUAUACUUAAUCUUCUAGCCUCAGAGGUUUUGCUGCAUUUCCCAAAAGCCUGAAGAUAUAUGCGCCCUUUUCUGACUGCUGGCUGUGUUUUGCUUCCAGAGAUGUUGAAGUAUUGUACAUGCAUAUCUUGUUAGAGGGCUAUACUUAAAUGAACGAAAUUGCCCACAGUCCGUUUAAUAAAUCUUCAAUCAAGAUGUAGAUAGACAAAUGUUUCACGAGCUUGUGCUGAAAAUCAAAUAGACAUGCAUCUCUCUUUCAUAGUACUGGUCAUGAAAAUAUGCUGCUAAGUGAUAACAUUUUCAAAUCGUUUGGAGCCUCGGACAGGACUUUUUUCUCCCUUUUAAGUCAACUAUUUCUGAAUUCAUUCUGGUUAUGAAGGGCCUGAUAUUUAUGGUAGGAGGUGCUGAUUGUUAUUAUUGUAGUGCUCUGGUAAUUUUGUCUAUCCUUGACUGAGACACCUGAACUCCUAUCAUUUGACUAUUCGAGCUUUCAGUUUUGUUCCGUCACCAAAAAUCGACAACAAGGAUGUCCUUGCAUAAGAGCCAAGAUUCUCUUAACUAUAAACCAAGAGCUUUGCAAAUCGAAUAUCUUAUCCUGCAUAUCAUUGUUGAGCUUCAUUCUAUAUUUGGUUACCUUGCAUCUUCCAAAUCUGUGUUUGCUGCCGUAAUGCAUAAACGUUAUUGUUUCAGGUCACUUUCGUCUAUGAUUAGCUGUCUACCUAUAUGGUUUCUUCAAGUUUGAUAAUCUGCUUCAUGUAGAUGCCGCCUGCAUUUCAAAUGGAUAGAGGAGGCGGCCAAGGGCUCAGGCACAGAUGUGGACUCGUCAGCAGGAACUAUUCUACAUUACCAAGACGGCACGGGCGAAAGCGAUUGCUUCUUAACUUUGCUAUAAAUCAGGCGAGGUGACAUGGUCGGAAAUCACGCACCGGAAAAAUUUGUCGUGAAACUAUGUCUGGGAUGGUGAAACUUGGUUAGCAGUUUACCAUUUUUAGGGUAAAAUGAGCUUGGGGUUCUAGUAGCCUCUUGUUUCCAAGUUUGUCUUGAUGAAACGGCGGGAUUGUUUCCAACUCUGUCUUGAUGAAACGGCAGGGCCGCAGGCGUCAACUUGUUGACUUGGUGCAUCCUAUUUGUUGGGUCUGAUGUA